AGUGAACGCUGGCGGUAGGCCUAACACAUGCAAGUCGAACGGCAGCACAGUAAGAGCUUGCUCUUACGGGUGGCGAGUGGCGGACGGGUGAGGAAUACAUCGGAAUCUACUUUUUCGUGGGGGAUAACGUAGGGAAACUUACGCUAAUACCGCAUACUACCUACGGGUGAAAGCAGGGGAUCUUCGGACCUUGCGCGUUUGAAUGAGCCGAUGUCGGAUUAGCUAGUUGGCGGGGUAAAGGCCCACCAAGGCAACGAUCCGUAGCUGGUCUGAGAGGAUGAUCAGCCACACUGGAACUGAGACACGGUCCAGACUCCUACGGGAGGCAGCAGUGGGGAAUAUUGGACAAUGGGCGCAAGCCUGAUCCAGCCAUGCCGCGUGGGUGAAGAAGGCCUUCGGGUUGUAAAGCCCUUUUGUUGGGAAAGAAAAGCAGCAGGUUAAUCCCCCGAUGUUCUGACGGUACCCAAAGAAUAAGCACCGGCUAACUUCGUG
rnacentral:rRNA from 1 species